rnacentral:rRNA from 1 species
AACGAACGCUGGCGGCGCGCCUAAUACAUGCAAGUCGAGCGAGAAGACGUAGCAAUACGUUUGUAAAGCGGCGAACGGGUGAGGAAUACAUGGGUAACCUACCCUCGAGUGGGGAAUAACUAGCCGAAAGGUUAGCUAAUACCGCGUACGCUCCUUGGACUUCGGUUCAGGGAGGAAAGCGAUACCGUGGGUAUCGCGCUCUUGGAUGGGCUCAUGUCCUAUCAGCUUGUUGGUGAGGUAACGGCUCACCAAGGCUUCGACGGGUAGCUGGUCUGAGAGGACGAUCAGCCACACUGGCACUGCGACACGGCCCAGACUCCUACGGGAGGCAGCAGUGGGGGAUAUUGCGCAAUGGGCGAAAGCCUGACGCAGCGACGCCGCGUGGGUGAUGAAGGCC